rnacentral:rRNA from 1 species
AGGGAAUAUUGGUCAAUGGAUGCAAGUCUGAACCAGCCAUGCCGCGUGCAGGAAGAAGGCCUUCUGGGUUGUAAACUGCUUUUGCCAGGGGAUAAAAUUUCCAUGCGUGGAAAAUUGAAGGUACCUGGUGAAUAAGCCACGGCUAACUACGUGCCAGCAGCCGCGGUAAUACGUAGGUGGCAAGCGUUGUCCGGAUUUAUUGGGUUUAAAGGGUGCGUAGGCGGCCCUGUAAGUCAGUGGUGAAAUACUCCAGCUUAACUGGAGGGGUGCCAUUGAUACUGCAGGGCUUGAGUGGAGUCGAGGUAGGCGGAAUUGACGGUGUAGCGGUGAAAUGCUUAGAUAUCGUCAAGAACACCGAUAGUGUAGACAGCUUACUAGGCUUCAACUGACGCUGAGGCACGAAAGUGUGGGGAUCAAAC